GACGAACGCUGGCGGCGUGCUUAACACAUGCGAGUCGAACGGAAAGGCCCUGCUUGCAGGGUCCUCGAGUGGCGAACGGGUGAGUAACACGUGGGUGAUCUGCCCUGCACUUCGGGAUAAGCCUGGGAAACUGGGUCUAAUACCGGAUAGGAGCCAUUUUUAGUGUGAUGGUUGGAAAGUUUUUUCGGUGUAGGAUGAGCUCGCGGCCUAUCAGCUUGUUGGUGGGGUAAUGGCCUACCAAGGCGGCGACGGGUAGCCGGCCUGAGAGGGUGGACGGCCACAUUGGGACUGAGAUACGGCCCAGACUCCUACGGGAGGCAGCAGUGGGGAAUAUUGCACAAUGGGCGCAAGCCUGAUGCAGCGACGCCGCGUGGGGGAUGACGGCCUUCGGGUUGUAAACUCCUUUCGCUAGGGACGAAGCUUUUGUGACGGUACCUAGAUAAGAAGCACCGGCUAACUACGUG
rnacentral:rRNA from 1 species